rnacentral:rRNA from 1 species
GACGAACGCUGGCGGCGUGCUUAACACAUGCAAGUCGAACGGAAAGGCCCCUUUUGGCGUGCUCGUGUGGGGAACGGGUGUGUCAAACGGGAGUAAACUGCCCUUGUCUUCGGGCUACAAUCAGGGAAUUAGGGCUAAUAACGGAGAGGAAUCCUUGAUGCGUGGUGGGGGUUGGAACGGUUCGGGGGUUUUGGCUGGACUCGCGGCGUAUUGGCCUGUCGGUGGGGUAGUGGCUUACCAAGGCCUUGACGGGUGGGCGGCCGGAGAGGGCGACCGGCCGCAUUGGGACUGAGUUACGGCGCAGACUCCUGCGGGGGGCAGCGGUGGGGAAGAUUGCACAAGGGGCGGAAGCCUGAUGCAGCAACGCCGCGUGCUGGAGGAGUGCCUUCGGUUUGUAAACCGCUUUCAGCAGGGGUGGAGCGGGUGGUGACGGUACCUGCAGAAGAAGCACCGGCUAACUACGUG